AAGUCGUAACAAGGUUUCCGUAGGUGAACCUGCGGAAGGAUCAUCAUCGAAUUCAUACCCUCCCCCUCUCACCGGGGGGGUGGGCUCAUGAUAAACCCUUCUGUGCACUGUAAACCGUUCACUUUGGCGGGCUUUGGUCGCGAGUGUUCCGCUCGCCCCAACCUCGCGUGCCCCUCCCAAGGGGGACGCGAGGCGGCCUGCCGGAGUCCUCUUCUGAAAAACUCGUUCGAGAACACGUCUGAAAAUUUCCUUUGAGAAAUCAAAGAACCGAAAACAACUUUCAACAACGGAUCUCUUGGCUCUC
rnacentral:misc_RNA from 1 species